UACAGAGGUCCCAAGCGUUGUUCGGAUUCACUGGGCGUAAAGGGUGCGUAGGCGGUCGGAUAAGUCUGAUGUGAAAUCUUCGAGCUCAACUCGGAAACUGCAUCGGAAACUAUUCGGCUAGAGGAUUGGAGGGGAGACUGGAAUUCUCGGUGUAGCAGUGAAAUGCGUAGAUAUCGAGAGGAACGCCAGUGGCGAAGGCGAGUCUCUGGACAAUUCCUGACGCUGAGGCACGAAAGCUAGGGGAGCAAACAGG
rnacentral:rRNA from 1 species